UCUUCAUUCCUCGUACUCUCUCAUCGGUCAUAGAGGCGAGAGAGUGUGCAAAAUGAAGAGA
rfam:Pristionchus pacificus strain PS312 contig1279, whole genome shotgun sequence.